AUGACUACCAUCUUGACUUACUCUUUUAAAAAAUCUUCCCAGUACAUCAAAAUGGUCCCUCAGAUUUUCUUUAAGACCUCUGAGCUGUUCCUCCCAGCUAAGAGCUGCCCCAGCUGUCCAGACCAAAUCAAAGAAGACCUUAGCCAAACCCAAUAUAAGGAAUAUCGUGGUGGUGGAUGGUGUUUGCACUCCAUUUUUGCUGUCAGGUACUUCAUACAAAGACCUGAUGCCACAUGACUUGGCUGGAGCAGCACUUACAGGUUUGUUACAUGGGACCAAUGUUCCAAAGGAAGUUGUUGAUUAUAUCAUCUUUGGAAUAUGAUUAUAUAUCAUAUUCAGGAGGUAAAAACAAGCAACGUGGCUAGAGAGGCUGCCCUUGGAGCUGCCUUCUCUGACAAGACUCCUGCUCACACUGUCACCAUGGCUUGCAUCUCUGCCAACCAAGCCAUGACCACAGGUGUUGGCUUGCUUAGUUCUGGCCAGUGUAAUGUGAUUGUGGCAGGUGGUGUCGAAUUAAUGUCCGAUGUUCCUGUUGGUCAUUCAAGGAAAAUGAGGAAAAUGAGGAAAAUGAUGCUUGACCUCAACAAGGCCAAGACUCUGGGCCAGCGACUAUCUUUACUCUCUAAAUUCAGAUUGAAUUUUCUAUCACCUGAGCUUCCUGUGGUGGCUGAGUUUUCCACCAGCGAGACGAUGGGCCACUCUGCAGACCGAUUGGCCACUGCCUUUGCUGUUUCUCGACUGGAACAGGAUGAAUAUGCACUGCGCUCUCACAGUCUGGCCAAGAAGGCACAGGAUGAAGGACUCCUUUCUGAUGUUGUACCCUUCAGUGUACCAGGAAAAGAUACAAUUACUAAAGAUAAUGGCAUCCGUCCUUCUUCACUGGAGCAGAUGGUCAAACUAAAACCUGCAUUCAUCAAGCCCUAUGGCACAGUGACAGCUGCAAACUCUUCUUUCUUGACUGAUGGUGCAUCUGCAAUGGUGAUUAUGGCAGAGGAAAAAGCUCUGGCCAUGGGUUAUAAGCCAAAGGCAUAUCUGAGGGACUUCAUGGAUGUGUCUCAGGAUCCAAAAGAUCAACUAUUACUUGGACCAACAUAUGCUACUCCAAAAGUCCUAGAAAAGGCAGGAUUAACCAUGAAUGAUAUUGAUGCUUUUGAAUUUCACAAAACUUUCUCAGGUCAGAUUUUGGCUAAUUUUAAAGCCAUGGAUUCUGAUUGGUUUGCGCAAAACCACAUGGGUAGAAAAACCAAGGUUAGAGUGCCUCCCUUGGAGAAAUUCAAUAACUGGGGUGGAUCACUGUCCCUUGGACACCCGUUUGGAGCCACUGGCUGCCAGCUGGUCAUGGUAGCUGCCAACAGAUUACGGAAGGAAGGAGGCCAGUAUGGCUUAGUGGCUGCCUGUGCAGUUGGAGGACAGGGCCAUGCUAUGAUAGUGGAAGCUUAUCCAAAAUAAUUGCUCCAGAAGAGGUGACCUGAAGUUUUUGUGCAACACUCACACUAGGCAAUGCCAUUUCAAUGCAUUACUAAAUGACAACUAUCGUUCCCAGCUCCUCUUAGGAAAACAAUACUUGUGGCCUUCUGUUAAAUACUUUGCA